rnacentral:rRNA from 1 species
UACGUAGGGGGCUAGCGUUGUCCGGAAUCAUUGGGCGUAAAGCGCGUGUAGGCGGCCCGUAAGUCCGCUGUGAAAGUCGGGGGCUCAACCCUCGGAUGCCGGUGGAUACUGUCGGGCUCGAGUACGGAAGAGGCGAGUGGAAUUCCUGGUGUAGCGGUGAAAUGCGCAGAUAUCAGGAGGAACACCGGUGGCGAAGGCGGAUCUCUGGGCCUUGCCUGACGCUGAGGCGCGAAAGCUAGGGGAGCGAACAGG